rnacentral:rRNA from 1 species
GAUGAACGCUAGCGGCAGGCCUAAUACAUGCAAGUCGAACGAGAUUAAGAGGCUUGCUUCUUAUGAAAGUGGCGCACGGGUGCGUAACGCGUAUGCAACCUACCUUAAUCAGGGGGAUAGCCCGAAGAAAUUCGGAUUAAGACCGCAUAAAAACACAGGAUAGCAUUAUCCAAUGUUCAAAUAUUUAUAGGAUUACGAUGGGCAUGCGUGUCAUUAGCUAGUUGGCGGGGUAACGGCCCACCAAGGCGACGAUGACUAGGGGAUCUGAGAGGAUGACCCCCCACACUGGUACUGAGACACGGACCAGACUCCUACGAGAGGCAGCAGUAAGGAAGAUUGGUGAAUGGAGGGAACUCUGAACCAGCCAUGCCGCGUGCAGGAAGACAGCCCUCUGGGUCGUAAACUGCUUUUAUUCGGGAAUAAACCUUUCUACGUGUAGGAAGCUGAAUGUACCGAAGGAAUAAGGAUCGGCUAACUCCGUG